UUGUGCUUGCUACGGCACCAGUAUACUAAAAUUGGAUCGAUACAGGGAAGAUUAGCAUGGCCCCUGCGAAAGGAUGACACGCAAAUCCGUGAAGCGCUCCAUAUUUAA